GUGACAUUAGCUGCUCUAGUUAGCUUACCUAGAGCCUUGCCAGUGGGGAUAUAUGAGGGUGUCACGUUGACCUGCACUGUAACUAUUGCUUUUCAGGAAAAACAGGACUGGAAUUGCUAAGAUAAGAACUGUAAAGCAAGGAUGCUACCUGAAGGUGUAGCCACAUUUCAUCUUGCCCUGCAACAGACUGUCUCUAGGUCCUUUUCAGCCCUAUUCUACAUGACCAGUGAUUCUUAGGUGGACUAUGUGCUGUCAUUUACACCUGUCCAAAAUGGUUAUGCUGUCCUUCAGUUUUAAGAAGCUCAACAAGUGCUGGCGGGAGCACAGCACGCACCUGGGAGGCAACAAAGAAAUUCCUGUGUGCCAAAACUGGCACUUACAGCCACUCUUCUCUGUGACUGCAGUCAGUGCAUAACCUUCUGUCUCAGAUUCCCCAUGCAUGAAAUGAGGUUGGGAAACAAAGAUAUGGAGAAGAUCAUGGUUAUUCAACAAGGAUAACGAGAACCUG
rnacentral:lncRNA from 1 species